rnacentral:rRNA from 1 species
AACGAUGGGUGCUAGUUGUCAGGCAGCAUGCUGUUUGGUGACGCAGCUAACGCGUUAAGCACCCCGCCUGGGGACUACGGUCGCAAGACUAAAACUCAAAGGAAUUGACGGGGGCCCGCACAAGCGGUGGAGCAUGUGGUUUAAUUCGAGGCAACGCGAAGAACCUUACCGGCCCUUGACAUACCAAUCGCGGAUAGCAGAGAUGCUUUCCUUCAGUUCGGCUGGAUUGGAUACAGGUGCUGCAUGGUUGUCGUCAGCUCGUGUCGUGAGAUGUUGGGUUAAGUCCCGCAACGAGCGCAACCCUCGCCUUUAGUUGCCAGCAUUAAGUUGGGCACUCUAGAGGGACUGCCGGUGAUAAGCCGGAGGAAGGUGGGGAUGACGUCAAAUCAUCAUGGCCCUUACGGGCCGGGCUACACACGUGCUACAAUGGCGGUGACAGUGAGCAGCCACUCAGCGAUGAGGAGCUAAUCUCUAAAAGCCGUCUCAGUUCGGAUUGUUCUCUGCAACUCGAGAGCAUGAAGUUGGAAUCGCUAGUAAUCGUGGAUCAGCAUGCCACGGUGAAUACGUUCCCGGGCCUUGUACACACCGCCCGUCACACCAUGGGAGUUGGUUUUACCCGAAGACUGUGUGCUAACUUUUAGAGGCAGCAGGCCACGGUAAGGUCAGCGACUGGGGUGAAGUCGUAACAAGGUAACCGUA